rnacentral:rRNA from 1 species
CUACGGGAGGCAGCAGUGGGGAAUUUUGGACAAUGGGCGCAAGCCUGAUCCAGCCAUGCCGCGUGAGUGAAGAAGGCCUUCGGGUUGUAAAGCUCUUUCAGGUGGGAAGAAACGGUUAAUGUUAAUAGCAUUGACUACUGACGGUACCACCAGAAGAAGCACCGGCUAACUACGUGCCAGCAGCCGCGGUAAUACGUAGGGUGCGAGCGUUAAUCGGAAUUACUGGGCGUAAAGGGUGCGCAGGCGGUUUUGUAAGCCAGAUGUGAAAUCCCCGGGCUCAACCUGGGAACUGCAUUUGGGACUGCAAGGCUAGAGUACGGCAGAGGGGGGUAGAAUUCCACGUGUAGCAGUGAAAUGCGUAGAUAUGUGGAGGAAUACCGAUGGCGAAGGCAGCCCCCUGGGUCGAUACUGACGCUCAGGCACGAAAGCGUGGGGAGCAAACAGGAUUAGAUACCCGGGUAGUC